rnacentral:rRNA from 1 species
AUUGAACGCUGGCGGCAGGCUUAACACAUGCAAGUCGAGCGGUUGACGGGAGCUUGCUCCCUGAUUCAGCGGCGGACGGGUGAGUAAUGCCUAGGAAUCUGCCUAUUAGUGGGGGACAACGUUUCGAAAGGAACGCUAAUACCGCAUACGUCCUACGGGAGAAAGCAGGGGACCUUCGGGCCUUGCGCUAAUAGAUGAGCCUAGGUCGGAUUAGCUUGUUGGUGAGGUAAUGGCUCACCAAGGCGACGAUCCGUAACUGGUCUGAGAGGAUGAUCAGUCACACUGGAACUGAGACACGGUCCAGACUCCUACGGGAGGCAGCAGGGGGGAAUAUUGGACAAUGGGCGAAAGCCUGAUCCAGCCAUGCCGCGUGUGUGAAGAAGGUCUUCGGAUUGUAAAGCACUUUAAGUUGGGAGGAAGGGUUGUAGAUUAAUACUCUGCAAUUUUGACGUUACCGACAGAAUAAGCACCGGCUAACUCUGUGCCAGCCGCCGCCGUAA